rnacentral:rRNA from 1 species
AGCAGCCGCGGUAAUUCCAGCUCCAAUAGCGUAUAUUAAAGUUGUUGCAGUUAAAAAGCUCGUAGUUGAAUUUCGGGAUCAAAUUGUCGGUCGUGCCUCGGUACGCACUGGCGUUAUUGGUUCCUCCCUUCUGAAGAACCGCGAUGUCAUUAAUUUGGUGUCGCGGGGAAUCAGGACUGUUACUUUGAAAAAAUUAGAGUGUUUAAAGCAAGCUCGCGCUUGAAUACAUUAGCAUGGAAUAAUGAAAUAGGACGUUUGAUUCUAUUUUGUUGGUUUCUAGGAUCGACGUAAUGAUUAAUAGGGAUAGUUGGGGGGCAUUAGUAUUCAAUUGUCAGAGGUGAAAUUCUUGGAUUUAUUGAAGACUAACUACUGCGAAAGCAUUUGCCAAGGAUGUUUUCAUUAAUCAAGAACGAAAGUUAGGGGAUCGAAGACGAUCAGAUACCGUCGUAGUCUUAACCAUAAACUAUGCCGACUAGGGAUCGGAUGAUGUUAAUUUUUUCAAUGACUCAUUCGGCGCCUU